rnacentral:misc_RNA from 1 species
CUUUACCUCCGCCGGUGAUCAGAAGCCUGCGUCUCUAAAUUCUUAAGUCCCCUUGCUUAGUUGUUCAGGUUUGAAAGAAGCCACAACAUACAACUCUAAGCCAGAGACAUACAAGAGGGACGUUUCCGUAAACAAGUGUCAUUCCUGAACAGUCAGAAAUAACCAUGGGUGAAACCCUGGGAGAUGCUCUUAUUGACCCAGAGAGUGAGCCCUUCGCUGUCACAGUGUCUGCAAGGACCUCACAAGAAAUUACCAUGGUUGACACAGAGAUGCCGUUUUGGCCCACCAACUUUGGGAUCAGCUCCGUGGACCUUUCUAUGAUGGAUGACCACUCCCAUGCCUUUGACAUCAAGCCCUUCACCACCGUUGACUUCUCCAGCAUUUCCACUCCGCACUAUGAGGACAUUCCGUUCCCAAGAGCUGACCCGAUGGUUGCAGAUUAUAAGUAUGACCUGAAGCUCCAAGAGUACCAAAGUGCAAUCAAAGUGGAGCCUGUAUCCCCACCUUAUUAUUCUGAAAAGACUCAGCUGUACAGUAAGCCUCAUGAAGAGCCUUCCAACUCCCUCAUGGCCAUUGAAUGCCGGGUCUGUGGGGAUAAAGCGUCAGGGUUCCACUAUGGAGUUCAUGCUUGUGAAGGAUGCAAGGGUUUCUUCCGGAGGACAAUCAGAUUGAAACUUAUUUACGAUAGGUGUGAUCUUAACUGUCGGAUCCACAAGAAAAGUAGAAAUAAAUGUCAGUACUGUCGGUUUCAGAAGUGCCUUGCUGUGGGGAUGUCUCAUAAUGCCAUCAGGUUUGGGCGCAUGCCACAGGCCGAGAAGGAGAAGCUGUUAGCGGAGAUCUCCAGCGAUAUCGACCAACUGAACCCAGAGUCUGCUGACCUCCGGGCCCUGGCAAAGCAUUUGUAUGACUCGUACAUAAAGUCCUUCCCGCUGACCAAAGCAAAGGCGAGGGCGAUCUUGACGGGAAAGACGACAGACAAAUCACCGUUUGUUAUCUAUGACAUGAACUCCUUAAUGAUGGGAGAAGAUAAAAUCAAGUUCAAGCACAUCAGUCCCCUGCAGGAGCCCAGCAAAGAGGUGGCCAUCCGCAUCUUCCAGGGGUGUCAGUUUCGCUCCGUGGAAGCCGUGCAGGAGAUCACAGAGUACGCCAAGAAUAUCCCCGGCUUUGUGAACCUUGACUUGAACGACCAAGUAACUCUCCUAAAAUACGGCGUGCACGAGAUCAUUUACACGAUGCUGGCCUCCUUGAUGAAUAAGGAUGGGGUCCUCAUAUCCGAGGGCCAAGGAUUCAUGACAAGGGAGUUUCUAAAGAGCCUGCGAAAGCCCUUUGGUGACUUUAUGGAGCCCAAGUUCGAGUUUGCUGUGAAGUUCAACGCACUGGAAUUAGAUGACAGCGACUUAGCAAUAUUUAUAGCUGUCAUUAUUCUCAGUGGAGGGGGCACCAGACUAUCCUAGAACACAGAGGAAUGUCACCCAAGGCAGCCUGGGGAAGCAAGAGGAAGUGUCCUGAAGAAGAGAGGUCUGAGCUGAGACCUACAGGGCGACCAGGAGUCACUGCUGCACACCCAGGAGAAGGAUGGUCCAGGUGGCAGCCACAGUGUUCACGAAGUCCUGAAGGAACAGUCACUUGGGAAGAUGGCUGAGGCGGUGUUCCGUCCCCCAAAGAGGAAGAGAAGAGUGCACGACAGCUAUGAGUCUCCCCUGCCCAUCCCUUGCGGUCAGGACCGUGGUCCUGAGAAGGACUUCCGAAUCUUCCGGGCUGAGAUGAUAAACAGCCAUGUGAUCGUGAGGGGCCUGGAAGACAUGGAGCAGCUCUACAGAAAGGGUUAUUUUGGAAAAGGCAUCCUGUCCAGAAGCCGACCAAACUUCACAAUCUCAGAUCCUAAGCUGGUUGCUAAAUGGAAAGAUAUGAAGCUAGACCUGCCGGUAAUCACAUCAAAGAAGUAUCAGCGUAGCGUGGAGUGGGCCGCAGAGCUCCUGCGAAGACAAGGCCGGGACGAGAGCAUGGUGCGCAGCGUCCUCGAGGGCUACACAAAGCCCCUCGAGCAUCCUCAUCUGAAAAUGAUGGAAGAGGUUCCUUUGGGCGAUGAGCCCAACUCCGAGGUGGUUUCCAAAUCAGAAGGCAGAGCAGACAGAGAGAAACUCUCUGCCGUGAAUGGGGUCGAGGGCAAGUCAUGUGAUCUGGAGGAUUCCAGCGAGCGAUCAAACAGCCCGCAGGAGGGCCCCGGGCCUGAGCCCCGAACCCCAGACGGCUCAGGUGAACAUGUGGCCGAGAUCCCCGCACCUCUGCCCCACGGCCACUGGGACGCUCUCCUUCUGCCAUCUGGUGGUCAGCCUGGGGACAGCAGCCAGAGAGCCGGUCUGGUUCCAGCCGGAGAGAGAGGGCCUGAGCAUGUGCUGGUGGAGGAAGCUGUGUGUGCCGGGAGCGAAGAGGUCCCAGCAGGGGAUGUGUUGCCGCAGAAGAGACUGGUAUGUAGGAGAAAUCCGUUCAGGAUCUUUGAGUAUCUGCAGCUCAGCCUAGAAGAGGCCUUCUUCCUGGUCUAUGCGCUGGGAUGUCUGAGUAUUUACUAUGAAAAGGAGCCUUUGACGAUCAUGAAGCUCUGGAACGCUUUCUCCACAGUUCAGCCCACGUUCAGGACGACCUACAUGGCAUACCAUCACUUCCGCAGCAAGGGCUGGGUGCCCAAGCCCGGACUUAAGUACGGAACAGAUUUGUUGCUGUAUCGAAAAGGCCCUCCGUUUUACCAUGCAAGUUACUCCGUCAUCGUGGAGCUGGUGGACGACCGUUUCCAGGGUGCUCCUCGCAGACCUCUCAGCUGGAGGUCCCUGGCUGCCUUGAGCAGAGUGUCAGUCAGUGUCUCCAAGGAACUUAUGCUGUGCUAUUUGAUUAAACCCUCCACCAUGACUGACAAGGACAUGGAGUCACCCGAAUGUAUGAAACAAAUUAAAGUUCAAGAGGUGAUUCUCAGCCGCUGGGUCUCUUCACGGGAGAGGAGUGACCAGGACGAACUUUAACAAUUCAGCC